rnacentral:rRNA from 1 species
AUGCACGCUGGCGGCGUGCCUCAUACAUGCAAGUCGCGCGAACGGACGAGAAGCUUGCUUCUCUGAUGUUAGCGGCGGACGGGUGAGUAACACGUGGAUAACCUACCUAUAAGACUGGGAUAACUUCGGGAAACCGUAGCUAAUACCGGAUAAUAUUUUGAACCGCAUGGUUCAAAAGUGAAAGACGGUCUUGCUGUCACUUAUAGAUGGAUCCGCGCUGCAUUAGCUAGUUGGUAAGGUAACGGCUUACCAAGGCAACGAUGCAUAGCCGACCUGAGAGGGUGAUCGGCCACACUGGAACUGAGACACGGUCCAGACUCCUACGGGAGGCAGCAGUAGGGAAUCUUCCGCAAUGGGCGAAAGCCUGACGGAGCAACGCCGCGUGAGUGAUGAAGGUCUUCGGAUCGUAAAACUCUGUUAUUAGGGAAGAACAUAUGUGUAAGUAACUGUGCACAUCUUGACGGUACCUAAUCAGAAAGCCACGGCUAACUACGUG